CCACCGAAUCAAAAUUCAAAAGACGCUCUCACUUCAGCUUCGCACAUCCGCGUUUCGUUCCACCGGCCCUCUCGUCGCCUACACCACAAGCCAACGCCAUUGCCCCAGCUUUCACAUUUCCUCCCCCUCUCUCUCUGGUGCUCUCCUAGCGAUGGCCUCUACUCUGAACAAGUUUCUCCUGGUGCUCGUGGCCCUCGUGGUUCUCGCCACCCACGCUGCGGCGCAGAGCCCCCCCUGCAGUAUCAAGCAGUGCAGUGAGUGCGUUGCCGGGUCCACCACCCAGUGCGCGAUCUGCAACCCUGGCUACCGGCUGAACGCCAAAGGCCAGUGCGUAACGAACGUGAACGCCGCCGCGGCCCCGCACGUCGCCGUUACCGCCGUGGCAGCUGUGGUGACUGCUGUCGUGGCCUAUACGCUGUGAUAGCAUCGACCAAGCUGGUGGGUCAAGGGAGCAGAGGAGCGACCAAUGUAGCUGGUUGUGUGGCGGUGCUGCUGCUGCUGUUGCUGCGAUGGGGUACGGGCGCUGACUCUUCUGCUAGCGUGGUGUGGGAGAGACGGAGCGCCUGUGCUACCUGUAGAGGACCUCUCUCUCUUUCCCCCCGCCGCCGCUGCCGCCGCUGCCCUCCCCCGCAUUUCGUAAGCGCAAAACACGCCGACUAACGGAUGACAUGGCACAUGCUUGCGUGAAGCAUGUGUGCUCUGACUCGAUGUCCCCUUGGCCCCCCUGGCACUUCGCUCCACCGUCCUGGGUUUGCUCUCUCUCGCUCCUUUUCUUUUCGUGCCAGCACCAGCAGCGGCUUUGCUCUCUCGAUCGUUGGCUCCCCUCCCCUCUCCUUCUCCCUUUUCUUUCUCACCAUCCUCUUCGCUUUUCUUGACUUGGCUCUUUUGAAUUUCCCAUGUGUUGUUUGCUUCACGUUGUCGUUUCGUGUCUCUCUCGUUUUCUCCACGGCCGAGAUAACCCUCGCUCGGCAUCUUGUGUGCGGACGCCUGCACAUGUGUACACGUGUGUGUGUGUGUGCAAUGGGCGACAUCGGUGAACACUUCUUCUGCCCCCCCCCCUCCCUUCUUCCCUGUCCCCCUCUUUCUUUUCCUCAUUGUUCCGGGCACGUGAGUGCUUAAAAUUUUUUUUUUUCGCAUGCCCAUCUGCUUUGCGCAUCGCUUCGCUCUUUUUUUUUUGUUGGCCUUCGCACGUUGUUGACACUCACCCUCCCUCCCUCUUAUGCGGGCUCAUCCUUUCUCGACACACAAAGCGGCGUUAGUAUACCACUCUCUGGUUUCGCCCUCCCCCUUCCCCUCCCUCUUCCCUGUUCCCCCCCGCCCACCACGCAAGCCUCUCUUUCUGUGUGUGCGUAUUGUUUUCUUUGUAAGCUUUUCCUCAGAAGCGGCUCCGCGUGGGCAGGGAUAUGAAGGGGAUGGGGGCUGCUGCUCGGCUUCCUUCCCCAGACAGUAUGUGUGUGGGGGGGGGUGCGGGCACGGGACCCUGCGAUAUCACGCACGGAGCUGUGUGCCCUCCCCCGACUCCCCUCGUCAUGAGGGCCAUGUGAAUACUACAGGAAAAACAAUUAUACAUACACAGAAAAAAAACAGACUAUGCAAGCAACUGACGCAUUCUUGGUGACGGUGACGCGAAGCGCGACUGUCUACGGUUUACACAUGUUGAGAAGCGAGGGCACCAAGAGCCCAUGCUCGUCGUCCGACAAGGGAUCCCGGCUAGAUGUUCGCGGUCCGGCGAGACGGUCGAGACUCCCUCCCUCCCCG
rnacentral:misc_RNA from 1 species